CACUUUCUUAUGGCUCUGUGCAAUAUAAAUAUGACAUUUAGCAGCACCUCCAUUUUGUCAACAGUAAUAUCGGUAAUUUCACAGAGCAAAUGGACUGCAGAAGACUCUUCUGGUAAUCUAGAGAGAUUAAAAAUAAACAGGCGAGCAGAGAGGCAUGGAAGGUGCGGUGCAGGCUAAAAACGAAAAACAAAACCCGGUCCCCACGGCAUGGCCACGAAACCAUUUCAUGCAGACUCGCCAGGCUUAGCCGCAAACAUCCCGGACACCCAUUACGGAUUUUUACACUGCAUGUUGCUUUCUCUUUGCGAUCAGGAAUAGAAGCACUCUCAUGUCGGAGGGGCUUGGGAACACACUGAGAUCCUGAUGGAGCGGAGUCUGCAAUACGCUGCACUUAUCCGUUCCCCUAAAGCCCGCGAACCUUAAGAAGAUGUCCAGACGCCUCCCACUGGAAUCAAUGCGAUCCUACUUGAGAUCUUGCAAGGCGAGUACUGCACCACGAAGACUUAGUCACUGAAUCGCCGUCGUCCACCCUCUCAGCUUUCUGAUUACGUGGCGAUUCAAAAGUUGGUCUCGUCCAUCUUGGCCUUACAGUCUCUACCCCACGACGCUUCUCAGCGAGGGCUCUUUUUAUAUCUUUAAAACUCUUUAAACCUUCUUGACCCUCUCGAGUUUGCGUGCAGAUGUCAAUGAACAUUCGGACUAAGAGAGAGUUUAUUGGACUUAUUGGAAUCAUUAUUUGAGCUCUACCAGUGAAAAUGUCCUUAAAUUGUGUAACAGGUUGUCUGUCAGCAUACCAUGGAGAAGAAGCUAAGAAAGUGCAGCAAAGCAUUUCUCCAUGUCCCUCAGUAUUAUCGAUGCUCCCAUGCAGGAGUUUCCCAGCCUUACCUGGUGAUGGACACCUUCUGCAUGCAAAGCAUGGGCUCUACCAC